rnacentral:lncRNA from 1 species
UUCAAGCUCGCUUUCAGCUUAAGUGUGGAGUUGCGAUUAUGAUACUGAUGAAGCUACUUUUCUAACUCUGGUACACUGACUUUUAAUCUAGCCUUUUCAUUUUGGCAUUCCAAUAGGUCUCUUUCUAGAGUAUUUUCUCGAACCUAGGCAUCUUUGCAUUUCUUUUCCCAUUGAUCGGUUAUAUUCUUUUCUUCUUUGAUCUCUUGUCGCCAUUGUUCUGAUGUCCUUCCCAGCCCGACAGUCCUCAUUGAUUAGCG